GUAACUACAAUGAUAGAGAAGAGUAUGUUAGUGCCAGUUUAUACAGGGAGGAUGCUGUCGUAGAUUGAGAACAGUUCCAAAACGGUUAACAGAAGUUCGCUCUGGAGUAAUCUGUGCUGAAGAAAUGAUUUUUGUGUAAGCCAGACGUUCCUUUCUGCGUUAAAGAAAGUUGAGUACUAAUUAGGGUGGUACCGCGGGAGUAAGGCUUUCGCCCCUUGC
rnacentral:ncRNA from 1 species